rnacentral:rRNA from 1 species
UACGGGGGGGGCAAGCGUUGUUCGGAAUUACUGGGCGUAAAGCGCGCGCAGGCGGUCCUUCAAGUCAGAGGUGAAAGCCCAGAGCUCAACUCUGGAACGGCCUUUGAAACUAGAGGACUUGGGUACGGGAGAGGUGAGUGGAAUUCCGAGUGUAGAGGUGAAAUUCGUAGAUAUUCGGAAGAACACCAGUGGCGAAGGCGGCUCACUGGCCUGUUACCGACGCUCAGGCGCGACAGCGUGGAGAGCAAACAGG